AACUGUUUGACCCAGUCAUGUCCUGUCAUAAACUAUUAUGCAACCAAGGGGAGGGCCUUGUCCUUUGCAGAUGCCUUAUGCCUACGUGAAUUUGGUUGAAACUGUGGGAAAGAAGAAAAGAAGUAACGAAGACAGGAGUCACAAGGUGUAAACAGAAGCAAGAGGAAAAGUUAGUGAAAAUGAAACUGCUGAUCUUCUUCCAGUUUUGCCAUCAAGAUGUCCCCAGGGAGUCAUUUUCUGGAAUGAAGGAUAAAAAAUUGAGAGAAAAAUAAUCAGCAAAACUAACCAAUACAUUGAACUUGGACAGCUCACUUUAUAAAAUUGCUGAACUCUACAAUUAUACAGUGGCAAGAAUCAAGACAGGGUGAAUUCAGCAUGCAGUGCAGGUGUCUUCAGGUCUAGUAGUGCCAAGUUUGUUACUUUCAUCACUGACAUACCAUUUCAUUGUCAAUUAAUUUUUGUUGCUGUAUUGAAGAGCAGAGUCAGGAAAUUGGGGCAAACAGAGAUACGAUAAUUUGCUUGAGAGUAAGCAUGUACCCAAAACCAGACUCCUCCACUAACAAGUCAUGCAAACUUUGACAACUCACCUAAGACACCCAAAUCAUAGUUUCCUUGUAUUCAGAGGGGUUUGGAGGAGAGCUCAAGGAAGUCACUGAUUUCACUCUGCCAUCUUGGCUCUGCCUCAACAAUCUGGUAAGAGCUGAAAUCAAAUCUAUCUUUGGAGGAUGACGUACUUCCAACAUUGAUAAUGUUCACAAGAAUGAGCCACCAUCUUUGGUCACAAUUCUCAAAAAGAUGUCAACAUACUUCAAACAAUGAUUUCAUUAUUUAAAUAAUUAGAAUAUUAAUUUGUUUUGGAAACAUAUAAUUUUUCAAUAAUUUGAUAAUAUUUAUCUAUCCAUAUAUAUUCAAUCUAUUUAUUCUCUCCCAUUUAUGUAUCCCUAUACGUUUAUGAAGGUGUAUGUAUGUGUAUAAGUAUCUAUGUAUGUAUGUAUGUACAUAUAUAUGCAUCUAUCUAUCUACCUAUCUAUACACAUAGAUUAGAUAAGCAGAAUGACACAGUUUAUAGAUUACUAGCCUUGGAGUUAGGAAGAUCAGAAUUCAAGUUCUGCUUUUGACACAUACUCUCAGAAUUUCCAAACAUCUAUUUAAGUCUAUAAGCUUCUGACAAUUAGCUAUCUGCCUCAGUGAAGAUAUUUUCUAUAAUAGGGGGUCUCUUUUGAUGUAAUCACAUAUUAUAUACAUGUAUAAUACAUAUACACAUACAUAUAUUUAUACUUGAGUCUUGGCUGAUUGUAGCAAUGAUAGUGUAAGGCAACCAUCCAAACUGAACAUCCUCUUCAAAGAGCUGAGAAGAAAUAUUAAGCCAUGAAGCAAGGUCCUAUACUUUAUUCUUCAUAUCUCCACUGUAUUUUGUACAUAGUAGUCACUGAAUAAAUAUGCGUUAAUUGAAUAAAUAAAUGGACUUAAAUCUUCAA